rnacentral:rRNA from 1 species
UUCGCAAUGCCCGAAAGGGUGACGAAGCGACGCCGCGUGGGUGAGGAAGGCCUUCGGGUUGUAAAGCCCUGUCAGGAGUUAAGAAAUGUAAGUGUGCUAAUAUCGCAUUUACUUGACGAAGGCUCCAAAGGAAGUCACGGCUAACUCUGUGCCAGCAGCCGCGGUAAUACAGAGGUGGCAAGCGUUGUUCGGAAUUAUUGGGCGUAAAGAGCACGUAGGUGGGUUUGUAAGUCAGAUGUGAAAGCCUCCUGUUCAACGGGAGAAUUGCAUCUGAAACUACUGAUCUUGAGUAUAGGAGGGGAGAAUGGAACUUCUGGUGGAGCGGUGAAAUGCGUAGAUAUCAGAAGGAACGCCGGCGGCGAAAGCGAUUCUCUGGCCUAUUACUGACACUCAGUAUGCGAAAGCUAGGGGAGCAAACGGGAUUAGAUACCCCGGUAGUCCUAGCCGUAAACGAUGGGCACUAAGUAGAGGGGUUUU